ACGCUGGCGGCGUGCCUAAUACAUGCAAGUAGAACGCUGAAGGAGGAGCUUGCUUCUCUGGAUGAGUUGCGAACGGGUGAGUAACGCGUAGGUAACCUGCCUGGUAGCGGGGGAUAACUAUUGGAAACGAUAGCUAAUACCGCAUAACAGUAGAUGUUGCAUGACAUUUGCUUAAAAGGUGCAAUUGCAUCACUACCAGAUGGACCUGCGUUGUAUUAGCUAGUUGGUGGGGUAACGGCUCACCAAGGCGACGAUACAUAGCCGACCUGAGAGGGUGAUCGGCCACACUGGGACUGAGGCACGGCCCAGACUCCUACGGGAGGCAGCAGUAGGGAAUCUUCGGCAAUGGACGGAAGUCUGACCGAGCAACGCCGCGUGAGUGAAGAAGGUUUUCGGAUCGUAAAGCUCUGUUGUAAGAGAAGAACAGGUGUGAGAGUGGAAAGUUCACACUGUGACGGUAUCUUACCAGAAAGGGACGGCUAACUACGUGCCAGCAGCCGCGGUAAUACGUAGGUCCCGAGCGUUGUCCGGAUUUAUUGGGCGUAAAGCGAGCGCAGGCGGUUAGAUAAGUCUGAAGUUAAAGGCUGUGGCUUAACCAUAGUACGCUUUGGAAACUGUUUAACUUGAGUGCAAGAGGGGAGAGUGGAAUUCCAUGUGUAGCGGUGAAAUGCGUAGAUAUAUGGAGGAACACCGGUGGCGAAAGCGGCUCUCUGGCUUGUAACUGACGCUGAGGCUCGAAAGCGUGGGGAGCAAACAGGAUUAGAUACCCCUGGUAGUCCACGCCGUAAACGAUGAGUGCUAGGUGUUAGACCCUUUCCGGGGUUUAGUGCCGCAGCUAACGCAUUAAGCACUCCGCCUGGGGAGUACGACCGCAAGGUUGAAACUCAAAGGAAUUGACG
rnacentral:rRNA from 1 species